AUUGAACGCUGGCGGCAUGCUUUACACAUGCAAGUCGAACGGUAACAGGCCUUCGGGUGCUGACGAGUGGCGAACGGGUGAGUAAUGCAUCGGAACGUACCCAGAGGUGGGGGAUAACGCAGCGAAAGCUGUGCUAAUACCGCAUGUGAUCUGAGGAUGAAAGCGGGGGACCGAGCAGCAAUGUUUGGCCUCGCGCCUUUGGAGCGGCCGAUGUCGGAUUAGCUAGUUGGUGGGGUAAAGGCCUACCAAGGCGACGAUCCGUAGCUGGUCUGAGAGCACGACCAGCCACACUGUGACUGAGACACGGCCCAGACUCCUACGGGAGGCAGCAGUGGGGAAUUUUGGACAAUGGGCGCGAGCCUGAUCCAGCAAUGCCGCGUGCGGGAAGAAGGCCUUCGGGUUGUAAACCGCUUUUGGCAGGAACGAAACGGUGUCCGCUAAUACCGGGCGCUAAUGACGGUACCUGCAGAAUAAGCACCGGCUAACUACGUG
rnacentral:rRNA from 1 species